GCCGAUGUGGCGAAGCUGGUUUACGCAGCGGUCUUAGAAACCGUGGUCUAUCAAGACGUGGGGGUUCGAAUCCCUCCAUCGGUA
rnacentral:tRNA from 1 species